rnacentral:rRNA from 1 species
ACACCAAGUUUGCUGCAUUGACUGUAGCAGAGUCCCUAUUCUCAAAAAAAAAAGACUAUAGCAGAGUCCCAAGUGUUUUGAGGUGCUUCUCGAAAGAACUGCUUUGUUUGGUCAUGUGUGUUUAAAUUAGAUAGGUUAACAAUAUGAAAUAAGACUUGAGAAGGAUUGCUUGGAAAGAUUCUGCUUAUUUCACUUUUCUCACUUCUCAUGCCAAUAUCCUAGGUAGCUAGCUCAAUGCGAAAAUAAGCAGUUCCCAUUGCCAUUACAACCCCAGGUAUGAUGGUGGUUCUCUACUUUUGACGGGCCAAUUCAAGUUGAAGAUCAAAUCCGUCAUCAACAACUUGCCAGCACACUCUCAGUCAUACCAAAUUACCCAUGGCUCCAUGAGGGUUCAGGAUCUCCACUGUUAAGCUUCAAUUACCAUCAGGCCAUCCAACCGAUCAAUGAGGUCUCUUUAUUUCGAGAUUGCUGUAGUGGCCUCAGAUUCAGAAGUGCACACGGUGGUCUAAGAUAUUACGAUCCAGAUACUAAAGCUCACAACCAGGAAGUCACUACAGGUCCAAAUCUAGCAGGAUCUCCAUCGAUUACGAGACAGGUAUGGUUGUUGUUCUCUGAUAAUAACUGGUAAAAGGGAACAAGGAAGACACGUCAAGUUAAAGAUCAGAUCCGGCUACUUGUCAUCAGCAACAAGCUUACACACUCUCAGACACAGCCAUGACUCCAUGAGGGUUCAGGAUGUCCAUGGUUAACCUUCAAUGACAACCUCAGCAGCCAAGCUAUGAGGUCUAGUUUUCUGGUGAGGGUCCAUGAUAAGCCAACAUUCUGACGGUUUCAGAUUCAGAAAUGCACAAGGAGGUCACCAACAUCGAUCAGAUCUAAGCCAUUUAGGCAGCUUUGUAAGCACAAUAAAGAUCUCUCCCGGAAGGACGGGCUUCUUAUUUUUUGAAGAUGCCAAGGUCUUUGAGAGUGGGAAGAUAUUUUCAGUGGUCAUUCUGAUAAAACUGAGGAGAAUAUAGAACUGCACCACCACCCAACAGUAAGAUUCUCAAAGUAAUGGCGGAGAUUGUGAUUUUUCUAGCCAUUAAAAAGAUCAGAUUUGCCUUGGCAAAGGGAGCGGCAGACCAGGCUAGCGUGCAGUUUGCGAAGUAUGGCACACAACUACUAGAGCUACAGAGCACCAUGGGCCGUGUUGCUAGUGAGCUUCGCGUAAUUCAUGAUGUUCUUUGUCAAAUGGAUAUUCGAAACCGCAACAAUCAAGUAUAUGAGGGUUGGUUGGAAGAGAUACAGAAAGUAGCACAUGUAAUGGAGGACAUGGUGGAUGAGUACUUGUAUCUAGUUGGUCAAGAACAUGAUAUAGGUUGUUGCUUUUUCCUGAAGAAAGGGGUUAAAAAGCCAAGAUCUCUGCUUUCCUUCAACCGGUUAGCUCUCAAGGUGAAGGAAACAGAGAAACACCUCACCCACCUGUCAGAGAUAAAAAACCGAUGGGUUACCCUGAUAAAUAACGGGGAUACUAAUAGCUCAAAUUACAUUGUCAAGAGAUCCCAAGAUCUAGCAAAUAUUUCACGCUCCCUAGAUGAAGAAGAUCUAGUGGGGGUGGAUGAAAACAGACGAAAACUCGAGCAGUGGUUGGCAGGUGAUGAUUUGGAAUGCUCUGUGAUAGCUCUGCUCGGAAUGGGAGGUCUUGGUAAAACUGCUUUAGCUGCAAAUGUUUACAAGAAAGAGAGGGAUAAAUUCCAAUGUCACGCCUGGGUCUCCAUCUCUCAAACUUAUUCUAGAGAACAUGUCUUGAGGAUUAUAAUCAAGGAAGUUUUUAAAGAUAAUGCUACUAUUUUAUCUAGCACUGUGGCUAUGGACAUUGUGUGCCUUGAAGAGACACUGACAAAAUUUUUGGAGCAAUGAAAGUAUUUGAUCAUAUUGGAUGAUAUUUGGACUCCAGAAGCAUUUGAUGAUUUGUCCAGGAUGCUUACUCAUAAUGAUAAGGGCAGUAGGUUGAUCAUCACAACAAGAGAAGGCGCUGUUGCUGCACAUGCCUCUCGAGGACAUACCAUAACACUGGAAGCUUUACCAGAAGACAAGGCAUGGGAUCUAUUUUGUAAGAAAGCCUUUCCAAGAGAAACAAAUCAUGAAUGUCAUGCAGAGUUGAAGCCUUUGUCUGAAGAAAUAGUUAGCAAGUGCAAAGGCUUGCCUCUUGCUGUUGUGUCCGUUGGUAGCCUCUUGUGUGUGUGUGAGAAAACCAUGGAAGAAUGGAGAAGAGUAAAUAACCAAUUGAGUUGGGAGAUAAAUAAUAAUUCGAGGCUUGGCCACAUAAGGAAUGUUUUGUAUCUGAGCUUCAUCUACCUUCCAACACACUUGAAGAGUUGUUUCCUAUACUGCAGCUUAUUUCCAGAAGACUAUGUUUUUACAAGGAAAAAGCUUGUACGGUUAUUGACAGCAGAGGGGUUCGUCAAGGAGAGGGGUAGAAACACAUUGGAGGAAGUUGCAGAAGGCUAUUUAAAGGAGUUGAUCGACAGAAAUAUGCUACAACUUGUUGAGAGGAACUCAUUUGGUAGGAUGAAGAAAUUCAAAAUGCACGAUAUCUUGCGUGAGUUGGCAGUGGAGUUGUGCCAGAAGAACUGUUUUGGUGUUGCUUAUGGUGGUGAACGCGAGGGCACUCUUGAGAUGGAUGGACGCCGAUUAGUACUCCACAAACUAAUGACGGAUAAUCCUGAGCCAGUUUAUGGUAUACACCAACUUCGUACUUUCAUUACACUAGACAAUAGCAUGCCAUCAUUCACUCUACUACCUCUGCUAUGUAAGGAGUCAAGAUAUCUGACGGUGUUAGAAUUAAGUGGUUUACCCAUCGAGAAGGUUCCAGAUGCUAUUGGAGAUCUUUUUAAUCUCCGCCAUUUGGGUUUGCGUGAUUCAAAAGUGAAGAUGCUCCCGCGGUCUGUCGAGAAGCUUUCAAAUUUGUUGACACUGGACCUUUCAGGAUCUGAUAUACAUGGGUUGCCUAGUGGGAUUGUGAAACUGAAGAAGCUUAGGCACUUAUUUGCAGAGAGACAUAUAAAAGGUUUUAGACAGCUUGCAUAUUGCAGUGGGGUGCAUAUCCCCAAAGGUCUUGGAAAUCUAAUAAACCUGCAGACACUACAAGCAUUGGAAGCACAUGAUGAUUCUCUUAGACUUUUAGGGGAGUUGAGGCAACUAAGAAGCUUGAGGUUAUUGAAUGUGAAGGGAAUCUACUGUGGAUGCAUCAGUGAGUCUCUAGCUCGGAUGCAGUAUUUGUCCUUCCUAGAUGUAAAUGCAAGUGAUGAGAAUGAGGUUCUCCAGUUGAAUGUUCUCCUGCCAAACCUGCAAAAGCUAACUUUGAGAGGACGACUAGCCGAAGGGGCGUUGGACGAGUCUCCUUUGUUCCAAGCUGUUGGCGGCCAGAACUUGUAUGAAUUGUCUCUAUUCUGGUCACAGCUGAGAGAGGACCCCCUGCCAUCCCUUUCCCGGUUGUCAAACUUGACUUAUCUACAAUUCACCAGAGCAUACAGGGGAGAGCAGCUGGCAUUUCUCACGGGGUGGUUUCCCAAGCUAAAGAUUCUCUCCCUAAGAGACCUGCCUAAUCUGAAUCGGCUAGAGAUACAGUAUUGCGCCAUGGCUAGCCUGGAAAAUUUAUUCUUAACCAACCUCAGCAGCAUGACGGAGGUGCCAGCUGGCAUUGAGUUCCUCACUUCCAUCAAGUAUCUAGGCUUUCACCAGAUCAGCAGGGACUUCUUGCCAUCCCUGCGCCAGUGUUCUGCAAUUCAAGGCAUAAUGUCACGGGUGGGGUGUUCCCUCCGAGAUUGACCUGCUACUCUGGUCAGGAAACGUGAUGUUUACCAUACGACGCUACCUCUGCAAGUGCUGAAACUGCCUGUUUCCGGAUGCAUAGGCUUUUGAUCUGCCAACUAGUGCUGCUUUUGUCAAUUUGUUGGUCUAGCUCUAGCAGUCUAGCUCUACAAUUUGUUGUUUUUGUUAUCGGCAGGAAGCAUUCUGCAAGCGUACAUCUUGAUUGUGUCAUUUAGCACCCUGGUGAGGGGCCGCAGAUUCUUAACUUGCUUGAGCCGAAGUCAGGGGGCUGACUUGCCACUCCUAUUUACCAUCCAAUUCUAGAUCCAAAGGCUGGAAAUGUUAC